ensembl:lncRNA
GAAAAAUUAGGUCAUGUCAAGUUUAGGCACAGAGGCUUCAUUCAACUUUACAGUAAAAAAAGUCCCUAGAGCCCUCGCCUCUCAGGCUUGUUUGAAUUCGAGGUCUAUCAUAAACACCGAAAAUAAACACUCAGUCAACGCAUGAAAAGGGGAAGUGGUGAAUGCAUCUUCUUUCCAGAGCUUCAGUUCUUUAGACUGGGAGGCACAUGUCAGACGUCUUUUGACAACAGCUUUGCACCUGUUUUUUGCUGUUGUGUCUAGCAGAUGGAUCUACCCACGGAUCUUUCGUCCAGGUUAUGGAUGCUUAUUAUUAUUAUUAUUUUUAUGUGGAUUUUGAUCAGCCUCGUCUUCAUCUUGAUCAACAAGUGCAUUUCAAAGGCAGGAAAACUCAGAAUCGCAGAGCUCCAGAGAAUGUCUGGCUUCUCCACCAAGAGCAAUCAAUACCAGGGGGGCGAGUAUGUUUCGGAGAUCCCACCUUUACCUCCUCGGACACAGUUUCUCCUCACAGAGGCCCAAAGUUAUGAGAACCUGGACGCCGCAGAUGAUCAGACUGAUCGGACUGAUCAGACUGAUCAGAUCGUCCACGAGCAGGACGUCCCAGACUACGAGCAGGUUGACCAGGACGUCCCGGACUGCGAGCAGGACGUCCCAGACUACGAGCAGGACGUCUCAGACUACGAGCAGGUUGACCAGGACGUCCCAGACUACGAGCAGAUUGACCAGGACGUCGCAGACUACGAGCAGGACAAGCAGUCCGACUCUUUGAAGGCGGUGGGUGAGGACGAGCCUCUCCCUCUGAUUCCACGGUACCCAGAUCUAGAUCCAGCAGCAGACAGUUUCUCAGAGGACGACUACGACGACAUCGGGGGUGAAGAUGAAACCGAGGGGGAAGAGGACUACGACGAUGUGGCUUAGGACCACAAGAGAACGGGAGAGAGAUCAUUCAAGUAAAGACGCUGUCAACCCUCUGGAUCAGAACGAAGUCCCCCGGGCAGGUGGAAGGUUUUCAUGUGUUUCAUAAGUAGAAGGGGUGGUUGUCUGUAGUUAAUGUGUGGUUUUCAAGGACAAAGAAGAGGCAGAACACAUACGUGACUCAUUUUCCAGGCAAAGGAUGUGGUCAGUUUAAUCUACAGGAAUACUUCAUAUUCUAAUCAUCCAUGUUUGUAGCGUCUAAAAAGAACAACCUGCCUGUUUUCAGCUAAGAGGCUUUUUAAAAUAGUUGAUUCCAUUUAAGGGGAAGGAGGAUUUCCUUUAUCUCUUUAUUCAGUUUAUCAGAAACACUCUACAUCCGCAUCUGGACACGUGGUUUUCACUUGGCAGGAAGGGGAUGAAAAACAGUCAUCUGAAAAGAAACUAAAGCCGUCAGCGAAAUGUGGUAGAGAAAACAGUACAAUACAAUUAUGAGUAAGUACAUUAAAUAGGAAAACUUGAGUAAAAAACCUAUUGAUUGGUUUAGAAAGCAGACAAGGCUCAGAGGCAUUUCCUCCUUCUUCUUUUCUGCUGAAUCCCAAGUUUUAGAGACUCUGAUCCCGGUUUGGUUACGACUGCGUCAUCAGUCGAGCCGUCGAAGGCUUAAAAUAACUAUAAAAAAAAAAAAAUGUUUUUAUGCUGCCGUGUGGUUGACGCUGCAUUCUGAUUGUACAGCUGUUGAUUGUUGUUGCGCUUUAUGAGCUUUGACUCACCUGUCAAUGUAGCUGGGUUGCAUUUAAGUAAUUUAGCAUGUUAACAUAGUCCGUGCAUGUAGAAGUCAUGGAGUCGAACUCGCACUUGAGUAUUGUUAAAACAAUCUCUUACCCUGCUUGGAGUAAUGUCACGCUCAUCCUCCGUCUUAUACGUUCCAUCUCCACAGGGGUCGUGUCGGGCCCCUCGGGUGGCAGCAGGCCCUCAGCAGCCUCUCAGCCCGGUCGUCCUCUGUGGAUCCAAACAUUGGAUUCAAAAAGGGAAAGAAUUCUACCAAAAAACAUAGUUAUUUGAUCUCCGUUUAUGAAAAAGCGCCGUUAAGCCAGCAGUUUGGUGACCCACAUACAUAAUCUCUCACACUCUGACCACAUAAUAACAUCCUGCCAGUCAUCAGUCACUGCCUUACGUAGCCCUCGGGAAGUUUUAAUGAAUAUAAGUGGAUUUGAAUGCCUCGGUUUAGGAUUAAGUGAUCUGACGGCGCUCCAAAGAGACAAUGCAGGAAAAGAAAAAGCUGGGGGAAAAAAAAGAGGGGAAAUUUUUUUGGGGGAAAAAAAUCCAGCGAAAACAGGAAGGUCACUGAGGUUAAACAAUUUAAAAAUGUGAAGAAAAAGACAAGAUUCUUUCCUUUUUUCUUUUUUACAGUCUGUGCUGGCAUUGUCCACUGUGCAGCUGAUUGAUGGAAUACUUAACUAAUAAUAUAUUAUUUAGCACAUGAAAAUAUAUUAAAAUGUUUUUUUGAUGGAUUUAACACAUUAUAAUGUACUUGUCAGUGUAUAUUUAGUGUGUAUUAAUGUGCUGUGAUUGCCAACAAUCAUAACCACGUAAGACAGUUAUAUUUUCAUGUAGUUCAGGAAGAGUUUGGAUUGUUUACCACAUUAAUAGAAGGAUUUGUCUUAUAAUUAGGUUCAUAUAGUUAUUGGCUCUCUAACAGAAAACAUUUUCGUAGGAAAAUCUUUCGUUUUUCACAAGGACUUUAAUUUUGAAGAAUCUAAAACGGAAGUGUAGCUGUAGCUAAAGGUGUGGGUUUGAAACAGCAAGCCCACGCUUUCUUUUUUGAAAAUUCGUAUAAAUAUUAGAUUGUGUUGAUAGAUGAGAGGAGACAAUGCUGUUUGAAAAAGAGUUCAAAAGGAAUAUUGACUCCUAAAAAACUUUAUUUUAUGUUAAAAACGUGCAUCUUUAUCAACACUAUUACAGCAACAGAUAGAAAUAUAUAAACGUCCAAUUCGAUUCAAUUUUAAAAAUACCAUCAGAAAUUAUAUGCAAAAAAACAAUAAACAACCACAUACCACGGUGAAAACACAAAUGUACUUUCCGUUACAGUAUUAUCUGUUUUAUCAGAGGCUUAUAUUAUUUUGGGAUAUUUUUAUUGCCUGAUUUUGUUGGUCUCAAUGUUGUCCUGAAAUGUUUUAAUCCCAGUUUAACCACCAAAGGCACUUUGUUUAAAGUAUAACAUGCUGUAUGAAUUUGGUUGAUUAUUAAGAUGAUUGUUCCAAAAUUGUUUUGUGUUUUAUUCACACAAAGAUUUCACGUGUUGUGGAUAAAAUGUUCAAUGUAUUUUAGAAGUGCAGCAUAAUAUUUAGUUUACCUAAGCGUAGUGUGUAGCAACCUGACAUCCUGCCUGUACAGAUAAAACGUGAUUUGCUUUUUAAUAAUAGUUAUGGGAUGCACCAUGAUGUAAUAAAUAAAACGUAACGAUAGAGCUAUUUAUAAAACAAUGCAGUUCCGGUUUUAAAGCUGUAUUUGGUGGUACAAGUGAAAGUUGUUACGUUAAUUGUUGCUAUUGUUACAGUGACUUUCCCCUCUACUGUUUAACAGUUUAAUUUGGUGUGUUUCCUUCCUCCUUAAAUAUGAAUGAUACUAUCUGAACGGUUGUAUGAAUUGUUGGUGUCUUUUCUUAUUAGAAUAAAUUCUUUGCACUCUUUUUUGUCAUUUAUUAUGCUUAGCAAUCAACAUGAGAGAAAAGAAAAAGCAAGUAGCCAUCAGCAAUGAUUAUGAAUAGAAAAUGUUCAGUAAAUAGAACGAAAUAGGCGAAAUACAAA